rnacentral:lncRNA from 1 species
AGUCCCAUUUUGUCCUCUCUCCCUUCUCUCCUCACUCUUCACCUCUCCUCGGGGUCGUCUUCUCAGAGGACUCCGCCGACGGAGAUGCUGCGGACUCCGCGGCCAGGGUCUGCCCCCAGGAGAACCCUCCGUCCACCUUUGCCCCCUCCCCGGGGGCGCGGGAGAUUUCUCUUGGAUUUGGCUACAAACUUAUAGAUCUUCUGCACUGUGUACAGGCACAGGUAAGUUAAAAAUAAGCUUUUCUAUUGGUUUAUUUUGAUUUUUUAAGUAAAAUCAAAUAUUUAACAUACCCUUUAUAGUUUGGCACAAUAGUAUGUAAAUAAAAUGAAUAUAAAUUAAAAAAAUGUGUAUUUGUCUACAUGUGUUUAAUUAUGAAAAUUCACUGAGUUUGUUAGAAAUGAUGUUUGAAGGUAAAAUAGCUAUGUCUGUUUAUUGGUGUUUUCUGUGUGUAUUUGGGAAGAGUUUAUGAAUUUAUCCAUUGGGUGAGGUGAAGUAUAAUUUCAUAGCCUGGCAAAUUUACAUUUGUGAAAUGAAUUUAUAUUUAUUUUCAUAUGUAAAUAAAAUAGCUACUAUAGAUUUUGGCAGCAAAUUUCUGUCUUUAUGUGGGUAGAUUUAAUGAAUAGACUUUUCUUGUCCAGCUAGUCUGAAAUAGCUUUUCAGUCACUCUUUAUCACACAAUCCUGAUUUAUUUUUAUCAUAAUAUUUAUCAAAGUGAUAUAUUCUUUUUAGUCUCCCCUACUAGAAUAUAGAGUCCAUGAACAUUGGGGCAUUUUGUCUUGUGAAAAACAGUAUCCCUAACCCUCAGGUUAGUGCUUGUUAAAUAGAAGACUGAAUAAACAUUUGUUACAGUAAUUGUUGACUAAUACACAUUAAGAAUUUAUUUAGGAGUUGUUGCUCUGGUGCAGCCGCUUAAGAAUCUGACUGCAGCGGCUCGGGUCACUGAGGAGCUGAGGGUUUGAUCCUUGGCCUGGCGCAGUGGGUUAAAGGAUCCAUUGUUGCCGCUUCUGUAGCAUACCUCGUAGGUGUGGCUUGGAUUCAAUCCCUGGCUGGGUAACUUCCAUAUGCUGCAGGCCAUAAAAAGGGGAAAAAAAAAGUACUUAUAUUCAAUCUUUGAACUUUGCAUCUGUACAUAAAUGGUAGAAAUAGUUCCUUCUGCUUAUUUCUAAAUAUGAAAUUAAUUUAUAUCAGAUACUUAAAAUAUAUCACUCUUACAUGUUCAAGGAAAUUAUGUGUUAGAUAUGUUACGUACUGAAGCAUGAUUAUUCAGGGUAGAAUUCAGAGGGUGGUGCUUCCAAUUCUGUUUUUAUUUUGUCACUACCUUAGAAGGUUCUUGGUUGAGCUCAAAUGGUAGAUGAACCUGGAGCAAGUGUGAGAGCUUCUCACCUCCUUACUCUACCAUGCUCCCAUAUUGGAUAUCCUUUGUGACGUCUUUAUGGAUAACAAAGUAGUUUUGAAAGUAAUUGUCCAGAGUUCCUAUUGUGGCCUUAGUGGUAACAAAGCUGGCUAGUAUCCUUAAGGAUGCAGGUUCGAUGCCUGGCCUUGCUCAUUGAGUGGGUUCAGGUUCUGGUGGUGUUGUGCAGGGCAGCAGCUGCAGCUCCAGUUGGAUCCCUAGCUUGGGAAAUUCCAUAUGCUGAAGGUGUGGCCCUCAAAAGCAAAAAA